UCAUUCUUUCAUCCAUCACGAGCUAUAUAUGAAGACAUCUCAAGACGAUGACGAGAAUGAUGAUUGCAACAACGAUGAAGAUGAUGGAAUUGAAUUCCAUCAUGAAUCCUGUAAAAGGAUUCAUUCAAAUUGAUUCAAUGAGUUACCAAGUUGUAAUGGAGCCUUGCUGCCUGAACGAUUUCCCUGCUAAAUAUCAUGAUAUCUACAUGUAACGACUUGAUCAGUAAUUUUGUGUAUUUUCAUCUCGUUGUUCUAUUUGAUGUUCCCCAUAUAUGUACCUGAUGUUUGGUGAUACGCGGGGAUGGUUUGGAUUAGUUUGUAAAGGUUUUGGAGUAAAUUGAAACA